CGAAAGAUAUUUGACCAAUCUGAUUUAGAAACAUUUAAUUUAGGUGGUUUAUACACCGAUACUAGUAUGAUAUUUAAGGACGGAAAUUUAACUGCGCAAAGUUCUAAAUCUUUUUUAUAUGCAAAA
rnacentral:lncRNA from 1 species